rnacentral:rRNA from 1 species
GACUCCUACGGGAGGCAGCAGUGGGGAAUAUUGCACAAUGGGCGAAAGCCUGAUGCAGCGACGCCGCGUGAGGGAUGACGGCCUUCGGGUUGUAAACCUCUUUCAGCAGGGAAGAAGCGAAAGUGACGGUACCUGCAGAAGAAGCGCCGGCUAACUACGUGCCAGCAGCCGCGGUAAUACGUAGGGCGCAAGCGUUGUCCGGAAUUAUUGGGCGUAAAGAGCUCGUAGGCGGCUUGUCACGUCGGAUGUGAAAGCCCGGGGCUUAACCCCGGGUCUGCAUUCGAUACGGGCUAGCUAGAGUGUGGUAGGGGAGAUCGGAAUUCCUGGUGUAGCGGUGAAAUGCGCAGAUAUCAGGAGGAACACCGGUGGCGAAGGCGGAUCUCUGGGCCAUUACUGACGCUGAGGAGCGAAAGCGUGGGGAGCGAACAGGAUUAGAUACCCUGGUAGUCCACGCCGUAAACGUUGGGAACUAGGUGUUGGCGACAUUCCACGUCGUCGGUGCCGCAGCUAACGCAUUAAGUUCCCCGCCUG